GAUGAACGCUGGCUACAGGCUUAACACAUGCAAGUCGAGGGGCAUCACGGGGGUUGCUUGCAACCCCUGGUGGCGACCGGCGAAUGGGUGAGUAACGCGUAUCCAACCUGCCCCCGGCCGGGGUAUAACCCGUCGAAAGGCGGCCUAAUCCCCCAUGCCGUCCUCCGCGGCCAUCCAAGGAGGACGAAAGGUGUUUUUUUUCCGGCCGGGCGAUGGGGAUGCGUCCGAUUAGCUUGCUGGCGGGGUAACGGCCCACCAGGGCUUCGAUCGGUAGGGGUUCUGAGAGGAAGGUCCCCCACACUGGUACUGAGACACGGACCAGACUCCUACGGGAGGCAGCAGUGAGGAAUAUUGGUCAAUGGGCGCAAGCCUGAACCAGCCAAGUAGCGUGCGGGAUGAAGGCCCUAUGGGUCGUAAACCGCUUUUUCACGGGGAUAACCGGCGGGUCUCGACCCGCCCUGCAGGUACCGUGCGAAUAAGGACCGGCUAAUUCCGUGCCAGCGGCCGCGGUAAUACGGAAGGUCCUGGCGUUAUCCGGAUUUAUUGGGUUUAAAGGGAGCGCAGGCCGCCCCUUAAGCGUGUUGUGAAAACCGGGCGCCCAACGCCCGGCGUGCAGCGCGAACUGGGGGGCUUGAGUGCGCGCGACGCCGGCGGAAUUCGUCGUGUAGCGGUGAAAUGCUUAGAUAUGACGAGGAACCCCGAUUGCGAAGGCAGCCGGCGAGGGCGCAACUGACGCUGAUGCUCGAAGGCGCGGGUAUCGAACAGGAUUAGAUACCAUGGUAGUCCGCGCUGUAAACGAUGGAUGCCCGCCGCCGGCACCUGGUGUCGGCGGCCAAGCGAAAGCGUUAAGCAUCCCACCUGGGGAGUACGCCGGCAACGGUGAAACUCAAAGGAAUUGACGGGGGCCCGCACAAGCGGAGGAACAUGUGGUUUAAUUCGAUGAUACGCGAGGAACCUUACCCGGGCUUGAACUGCCGGCGACGGGGGCGGAGACGUCCCUUCCCCUCGGGGCGCCGGCGGAGGUGCUGCAUGGUUGUCGUCAGCUCGUGCCGUGAGGUGUCGGCUCAAGUGCCAUAACGAGCG
rnacentral:rRNA from 1 species